CAGCAGCCGCGGGAAUACGUAGGGUGCAAGCGUUAAUCGGAAUUACUGGGCGUAAAGCGUGCGCAGGCGGUUUGUUAAGACAGAUGUGAAAUCCCCGGGCUCAACCUGGGAACUGCAUUUGUGACUGGCAAGCUAGAGUAUGGCAGAGGGGGGUGGAAUUCCGCGUGUAGCAGUGAAAUGCGUAGAUAUGCGGAGGAACACCGAUGGCGAAGGCAGCCCCCUGGGCCAAUACUGACGCUCAUGCACGAAAGCGUGGGGAGCAAAUGGGAUUAGAGACCCCUGUAGUCCCUGUCUCUUAUAC
rnacentral:rRNA from 1 species